AGUUACGUCAAGUCAAUGGCAGGCUACGAGAAUCAAUUCAAAGGAGUUAAAACUAACUUCAAACAAAUGCAAUGAAGUCAGGAAAAAAAAACAUGUAUUUUCAAAAUAUCAUCACAAGUUUCAAACUGUGAUCAAAAAUGAAUCGCUUCCUGGCUUGGCCCAUAAAAUAUGUAAAACAAGUUUAAGACUAAUAAAAAUCCAGUCAAUAAACUUUUUAAAAAAGGGACUCGAGUGUGCAAUUUGUGAUUAUGAUCCUGUCUGCAUUUGAUCGUGUAUGUAUUCAACUGUGCUCUGUUGGUCGUCUAUCGUUACUGUGUUAUUGUGUUAUCGCUUUGUAAAAAAAAAGG